UACGAAGGGGGCUAGCGUUGCUCGGAAUUACUGGGCGUAAAGGGCGCGUAGGCGGAUACUUAAGUUAGAGGUGAAAGCCCAGGGCUCAACCCUGGAACAGCCUUUAAUACUGGGGUAUCUUGAGUUCGGGAGAGGUGAGUGGAACUCCGAGUGUAGAGGUGAAAUUCGUAGAUAUUCGGAAGAACACCAGUGGCGAAGGCGACUCACUGGCCCGAUACUGACGCUGAGGCGCGAAAGCGUGGGGAGCAA
rnacentral:rRNA from 1 species